UUUAGUAAAAGGGCUUUAAGAUCCUUUUAGUUUAACAUGAAACAGCCUCGAAAUCACCAUCGCCAAACCCACCAGCCUCGUUUUAAAUAUACA